rnacentral:rRNA from 1 species
CUUUACUGUAGCCUGUUAUUGGCUUCGGGCUUUGACUGCGCAGGAUAGGUGGGAGACUAUGAAGCUGCCCUUGUGGGGGCAGUGGAGUCAUCAGUGAGAUACCACUCUGUCAAGGCUAGAAUUCUAACCGUCUGCCGUUAUCCGGCGACGGAACAGUAUCAGGUGGGCAGUUUGACUGGGGCGGUCGCCUCCUAAAUGGUAACGGAGGCGCGCAAAGGUUCCCUCAGGCUGGUUGGAAAUCAGCCGAAGAGUGUAAAGGCAGAAGGGAGCUUGACUGCAAGAGCAACAACUCAAGCAGGGACGAAAGUCGGCCUUAGUGAUCCGACGGCGCUGAGUGGAAGGGCCGUCGCUCAACGGAUAAAAGUUA